AUUGAACGCUGGCGGCAGGCCUAACACAUGCAAGUCGAGCGGAUGACGGGAGCUUGCUCCUUGAUUCAGCGGCGGACGGGUGAGUAAUGCCUAGGAAUCUGCCUGGUAGUGGGGGACAACGUUUCGAAAGGAACGCUAAUACCGCAUACGUCCUACGGGAGAAAGCAGGGGACCUUCGGGCCUUGCGCUAUCAGAUGAGCCUAGGUCGGAUUAGCUAGUAGGUGAGGUAAUGGCUCACCUAGGCGACGAUCCGUAACUGGUCUGAGAGGGUGAUCAGUCACACUGGAACUGAGACACGGUCCAGACUCCUACGGGAGGCAGCAGUGGGGAAUAUUGGACAAUGGGCGAAAGCCUGAUCCAGCCAUGCCGCGUGUGUGAAGAAGGUCUUCGGAUUGUAAAGCACUUUAAGUUGGGAGGAAGGGCAGUAAGCGAAUACCUUGCUGUUUUGACGUUACCGACAGAAUAAGCACCGGCUAACUCUGUGCCAGCCGCCGCGGUAAGAC
rnacentral:rRNA from 1 species